AUGUUUUUUGGAUUUCCUUACGAUUACCAAACAGACUACUACAUCACCAAGGCUUUAGGGGGUUAUGGAUCUCUUGUCAAUUGGUACAAUCCUCGCCAGGAUAGACGGUACAUGCUCAUCAAAGCUCGCGUUAUCCGUCUGAAUCUCGUGCCCAAGAGUUUUAUUGUUUGGCAGUUGGGAGGUGCACGAGACUGCUGGACGGUCCAGGUUACUAUUUUGAGAAGCAGUGACUGGAAUGGGUUGCUGCCUGAUGUGCUGCCUCCAAAUGAAGAACCUCCUCCCGCAGAUGGCAAUCCACAUCCUCAGUUCGGGCCUGAACUCACUGCUGAACAACUUUACCAGCAGCAAGUUCACAACUGGCUGGUACAGAAUGCUGCCCCCAAUCACCCUGUGCAUCACAACAAUGCAGAAGCUCCCAACCAAGGGUGGGCUCCCUGGCCUGAACCUCCAGCUCCUCCUAUGCCACCCCACCUAAUGAACUUCCAAGCCUGGCUGGCCUCUCAGGGUUUGACUGUUAUGCAUGGAGUGGUUCCUGACAAUAAUGUCACUGACAAUCCUAUGCAAGCAUGGCAUGAGGCGAUUACUGAAUCUUCUGAAUAUACAUCCUCGGAAGACUCUGAUGCCACUGUCUCCGACUUGCUUGUUAUGCCAGUGACUUCUCCAGGAGCCUUUUCUGCUGCUCUGGCGGCUCCAUCUGUUGCUGCUGACGUGGUUACCAUCUCUGUCGACAUUCAUGACCAAGGUAUGCGCUUUGGUCUAUCUGCUCAGGGCGAUUCCCUCAUGGAAAUCCUUUUGGCCAACCCUGUUCCCCGACAGCAACUCAAUACUGCACUUUUCAAUGCCAUCCGGCCUAUACUUGCUACAAGGGGACCAUGGGCUGCUGGUUUUGGAUUCAGACACGAGGUUAUGCACUUUGAAGUUCAGGUCACUGCUGGCCCUACUGGCAUUCAAUUCUCACAAAAUACUCUGCUUGCUCCGGCAACUACUGCAUCAGUGCUCAUUGAGGAACUUUCUGACAGCCAGGCACCACUUGUUGAUCAGUCCAGGCUGGAGCCACAGGGCUCCAUGGAAGCUUCUCAUGUGCUGCUGACUGAAACUGAGGAUUCUGCCACUGUGGUGGUACAAACCAACAAUUUCAGUUCUGAUUCGGAGACUGAUUCACACCUCAUGGACUUGGCUGCACAUCACUCUGAAACUCAGACUGGCCUGCUUCAGAUUGCGACAGGUGCCAUUUCUGAAACUACAAUCAGUGCAGUGGGUUCUUCAGCUCAUAAACGCAAAGGAAAGGCGCCAGUCCCCAUUGACACUUCCACUCUCCGUCGCAGCACUCGUACUAACAAAUAUGAUGGAUUUCGCACCACCUCUCUGUCUGAAGCCAAGGUCUCUAAAUCCAAGGUAAAACCGCGCACUGUUCCUACAGCCGUCUCUGCUGGUCCUGCAACUGCUGCUUCAAAUCAGAUGGCUCCUGAAGAUCUCCCUCCUCCAACUGACAUUGCCACAAUGCAAGCCAUUGGCACAAAUCUAUGUGCUAUCCCGGAGGAGGAGCUCACGGUUGCUGCUUUCACUGAAGACCCGGCGGGGACCUCUUCAUCAACCUCAGCUUGA
rnacentral:rRNA from 1 species